rnacentral:lncRNA from 1 species
UAUCCAAUGUCCCCUGUUGCCUUCACGUGCGUGUUAUAGGCAUGGGGGAGUUUGCCAGGCCAAUGUUUGUCUGUGAUAGAGAACAAUCUAGUGGUCAAGUCAAGCCCAUUUUGGUAAAUAACUCCGAAACUUCAUGAGCUGUUAUUUUUCGAUGGAGAGUCCAUGGAAGACAUGAACAGACCAUCUCUACGGUCCCGCCAGUUAACAUGAUAGGAACUUUGGUGAAAUCUUUGAAGCCUCACUAAUCGACCGCUAAGAAUGUGUGAUCGAUUACCAUCGCCUGGUAUCAGAUUUAGCACACAAGGGGGAGCUAAGCCCAACAUCACCCUGUUACAAAACUCAUAUCUGUCUUACUAAAAAAACUCAUAUCUUUCUACGAGGGCAAGCGGAUGCGCUGCAUGAUUAUCCCGUCGAGCAACUUUGGUAGCCCCGCAAGCGGGAUUGUCCUUGAUUAUUAGCGUCGCUUCCCUGAUUGUUGCGCUUUUCUCGUAUUGAUACUAUUUUGACAAAAAAAAAAACCCGCCUGAAAUUACUGUGUGAUGACAUAUGAAGUUGAUAACUCGAUAUAUACUCUGUUGGUAACAAGUUACUGCGUGACUAUUUUAUACCUUUAAGCAUAAUAGUUAUCACCUAAUAAUAUUUGAAGUUGCCAUCGUUUUCUUCUUCUUUUGACCAAGUGAAGUCGUCAUCUUUUAGCAAUAAGUUAAGACAUGGUAACUUCCUUCAUAACUUAUGUAUUACUAUUGGUUAUUAAAAACUUAAAGAAUGCCAAGAAUAUCCAAAUGGGGUCA